rnacentral:rRNA from 1 species
UCACAGAGUUAGCCGUCCCUUCCUCUUCCAGUACUAUCAACCUAUCUGGUGUUAUCAAAUAGGCAUUGUUCCCAGAUGACAGGGGUUUACGGGCCGAAGCCAUUCAUCCCCCACGCGGCGUCGCUCCAUCAGGCUUUCGCCCAUUGUGAAAAAUUCUCGACUGCUGCCACCCGUAGGUGUCUGGACCGUGUCUCAGUUCCAGUGUGGCUGGUCGUCCUCUCAGACCAGCUACCCGUCUUAGCCUUGGUGAGCCGUUACCUCACCAACUAGCUGAUAGGCCGCGGGCUUAUCAAAAAGCGUCAGGCCUUACGGUCCCCAACUUUAAUCAUCAAACGAUGCCGCCCGAUGAUCACAUCCGGUAUUAGCUCGCCUUUCAGCGAGUUAUCCCAAACUUUUUGGCAAAUUACCCACGUGUUACGCACCCUUGCGCCGCUCCCACUCGGCUACAUUGCUGCAACCGAAUGAGCGCUCGACUUGCAUGUCUUAUCCACGCCGCCAGCGUUCGUU